GUUUUCACCGCCCACCGCUGCCAGCUCCACACUUCUCUUUAGCGCUGCAUGUGCCAACUGUCUCACAGAGCCAGCUGCAACAUCUACUGGAAGGACAUGGGGAGCAACCACAGCUACCCAAAAAGAGACUCAGAGACAUUUUGAGAGUGGCAGAACUACAGACUUCAACUUGUCUGUUUCUACAGAGCUGCAAAAACCACGGAGCCUUUUCUUGAAUGUCACCAGGGAACAAAGACAUAGUAAGGAAUUCAAGCUAUAACUCCUCUGAGAGCUGUUCCUUGAAGACUUGCAGAGCAGUUACCUUCUGACACACUAAAACUACUUCAGCAGGCAGCAGUUACAAUGAAGUUUCUGGAGGCAUGGAAAACAGUGCUGCUUUUUGUCAGGUGCCCAAACAAGUGAUUUAUCCCCAGCACUUAUGUCCCUAACUGCCAGCUCUCUACCAACAGCACAGAGUCAGCUUUCAGAAUGUACCUAGAUCUUUUUGAAAUUCCAGAUCUCAAACUUCAUUCUAUGCAGGUCUGUGUCUGGCACUGCAAUCAGUUGGAAGGCUUCCUGGUUUGGGAGAGUUUUGCUCGGCUUCUGACCACGCAAGCCAAACACUCUGUGUGUGUG